rfam:Trichomalopsis sarcophagae strain Alberta scaffold224, whole genome shotgun sequence.
GGCGCCGUGGCUUAGUUGGUUAAAGCGCCUGUCUAGUAAACAGGAGAUCGGGGGUUCGAAUCCCCCCGGGGCCU